rnacentral:tRNA from 1 species
ACAAUGGUGGUUCAAUGGUAGGAUUCUUGCUUUCCAUGUGGGAGACCUGGAUUCAAUUCCUGGCCGUUGUA